rnacentral:rRNA from 1 species
GAUGAACGCUGGCGGCGUGCCUAAUACAUGCAAGUCGAGCGAACAGACGAGGAGCUUGCUCCUCUGACGUUAGCGGCGGACGGGUGAGUAACACGUGUAUAACCUACCUAUAAGACUGGGAUAACUUCGGGAAACCGGAGCUAAUACCGGAUAAUAUAUUGAACCGCAUGGUUCAAUAGUGAAAGACGGUUUUGCUGUCACUUAUAGAUGGAUCCGCGCCGCAUGAGCUAGUUGGUAAGGUAACGGCUUACCAAGGCAACGAUGCGUAGCCGACCUGAGAGAGUGGUCGGCCACCCUGGAACUGAGCCACGCUCCAUGCGCCUACGGGAGGCAGCAGUAGGCAAUCUUCCGCAACGGGCGAAAGCCUGACGGAGCGACGCCGCGUGAGUGGUGGAGGUCUCCGGAUCGUAAAGCUCUGUUACUAGGUAAAAACAAAUGUGUCAUUAACUAUGCACGUCUUGACGGUAACUGAUCAGAAAGCACCGGCUAACUACGUG